AGGGUUUGAUCCUGGCUCAGAUUGAACGCUGGCGGCAGGCCUAACACAUGCAAGUCGAGCGGUAACAGAGAUAGCUUGCUAUUUGCUGACGAGCGGCGGACGGGUGCGUAACACGUAGGAAUCUGCCCGGUAGAGGGGGAUAGCCCGAAGAAAUUCGGAUUAAUACCGCAUACGCCCUAAUGGGGAAAGCAGGGAAUCUUCGGACCUUGCGCUAUCGGAUGAGCCUGCGUCGGAUUAGCUUGUUGGUGAGGUAAAAGCUCACCAAGGCGACGAUCCGUAGCUGGUCUGAGAGGAUGAUCAGCCACACUGGGACUGAGACACGGCCCAGACUCCUACGGGAGGCAGCAGUGGGGAAUAUUGCACAAUGGGCGCAAGCCUGAUGCAGCCAUGCCGCGUGUGUGAAGAAGGCUCUAGGGUUGUAAAGCACUUUCAGCGAGGAGGAAAGGUAUAAGGUUAAUACCCUUGUGCUGUGACGUUACUCGCAGAAGAAGCACCGGCUAACUCCGUGCCAGCAGCCGCGGUAAUACGGAGGGUGCGAGCGUUAAUCGGAAUUACUGGGCGUAAAGCGUGCGUAGGCGGCUAUUUAAGUGGGAUGUGAAAUCCCCGGGCUUAACCUGGGAACUGCAUCCCAAACUGGGUAGCUAGAGUACGGCAGAGGAGUGUUGGAAUUUCCUGUGUAGCGGUGAAAUGCGUANAUAUUAGGAAGGAACACCAGUGGCGAAGGCNACACUCUGGGCUGAUACUGACGCUGAGGUACNAAAGCGUGGGGANCAAACA
rnacentral:rRNA from 1 species